rnacentral:lncRNA from 1 species
GUGGGAUUUCAGUGCUUGGCACUGCUGUCAGAAGAAAAUGAAAGACAUAGAUCAACAUGGGCACUAACAUUUUUGUAUUUAUAAAUUGAUCUGUUUUCAAUUUUUUAAAAUUUUAUUACUGAGCUAUGUGUCUACCAGGAAUUUUUCUCCAAAGUAAUAGUUUUAGGGGACACUCUUCACUUCAUGGAAGUAUUUGAUAACAGCAUUCAGACAUCGUGGUUUAUACUUGUGACUGCUGAGCCAUUUCAAAUGGCUUUGUUUUCAGAAAUACCAGGUCAGUCUACUGGAGCAAGUGCUGCUUCUACUUCACUGGUGAUUUCCAUUUGUUCAGCGGCUAUACCUGUGAAUGUCUGGAAAAGGCCAACUUGGGAAAGAGUUACUUCAGCAGAUGCUUCUCUCCUUAAGGAAUUUUAUAAACAAGAGUAGCCUCCUGUUUUCUGCUGUUUUUCUUGGAUUAAAAAAAUCAAUUGAUUUAAUAAACCAAAUAUUAAAUAUUAAAU